rfam:Triticum aestivum genome assembly, contig: Triticum_aestivum_CS42_TGACv1_scaffold_134405_2BL
AUUGUACUCCCUCUGUCCGGAAAUACUUGUCGGAUAAAUGCAUAAAUAUGAAUGUAUCUAGAAUUAAAAUACGUCUAGAUACAUCUAUUCCUCCGACAAGUAUUUCCGGACGGAGAGAGCAGAUG